AACGAACGCUGGCGGCAUGCCUAACACAUGCAAGUCGAACGAGACCUUCGGGUCUAGUGGCGCACGGGUGCGUAACACGUGGGAAUUUGCCUCGGGGUAUGGAAUAACUCAGGGAAACUUGAGCUAAUACCAUAUAAUGUCUUCGGACCAAAGAUUUAUCGCCCUGAGAUAAGCCCGCGUAGGAUUAGCUAGUUGGUGGGGUAAAAGGCCUCACCAAGGCGACGAUCCUUAGCUGGUCUGAGAGGAUGAUCAGCCACACUGGGACUGAGACACGGCCCAGACUCCUACGGGAGGCAGCAGUGGGGAAUAUUGGACAAUGGGCGAAAGCCUGAUCCAGCAAUGCCGCGUGAGUGAUGAAGGCC
rnacentral:rRNA from 1 species